rnacentral:rRNA from 1 species
UACGGAGGGAGCGAACGUUGUUCGGAUUUACUGGGCGUAAAGGGUGUGUAGGCGGUCUUGCAAGUCAGGGGUGAAAUCUCUCGGCUCAACCGGGAAACUGCCUUUGAGACUGCAGGACUUGAGGGCGUGAGAGGAGACUGGAAUUCCUAGUGUAGCGGUGAAAUGCAUAGAUAUUAGGAGGAACACCAGUGGCGAAGGCGAGUCUCUGGCACGCAUCUGACGCUGAGACACGAAAGCCAGGGGAGCGAACGGG